CUUAAAUGCAACCCAUUUGGUCGCCCUACCGCCGACUGAAGUCAAUCAAUACACAAUUCAAGGAUGAUGGCUGCACAGUCGCGGACAAAAAUGUUGGCACUCGUAAACCCAAAAGCAACGUGAAAAGGCCAAAAUAUAUUUACAGUUCACACAAAUAA